CUCCAGUGCCCGGCGCGGGGGAGUCCAGUCCCAGCCCGGCUACCUGAGAGCGGCGCGGGGCUCGGGCCGCCCAGUGCGCAGGUGCGGGCCCAAGAGCCAGGCUCCAGUCUGAGUCUAGAAAUCUGCACAGCAAUGAAACAGCCCUGCAUCCCUAGCCUGAAUCGGCUCAGCACGGACCAACUCCAGCCAAGAGCAGCAGAAGUGACCAUGGAAGAGGCAGCAGGAGGGAGAACUCAGAGCCCGCUUGCCAGGAGUCAGUACCAGGAGGAAAUGGGAGAUCUUGGAGGCAGAUGCCAUCCUAGCUAAGAAGUUCUACGCACACCAUGCCCAUGAGCUCUGCAGCUUAUGAGGAAUCUUGGUCUACAUCUGUUAAGGCUGAUUUCCCACUCUGGCACUUUGAGUGCAGAAUAUGGGCACCUGCAAGGAAUCUAAAAAUUAAUACUGGCU